GGAUGUGAGGGCGAGCCGGCUGCGACAUCUGCCACCCCACUGAUCGCCAGGGCCGGUUCAGCCGGCCUGGCUGGCUAGGCGGGUGUCCCCCUCCUCCCUCAGUGCUCCACGUGUACCCCUCCUGAAGCUGCUGCAUGCUGGGGCGAAGAGGACGAGCACCCCCAUGGAGGAGGACCGCCCCUCAGUCAAGGGUACAGGAGUAGCUGCACUCCCCUGCUAGAACCUCCAAACAAGCUCUCAAGAAAACUUUCUAAGCAAAAGUUUAAUAUAUACAAUAAAGUGAUUUAACAAAUUUGUAUAACUGAUUUUUAAACUGAAAAUCAAUCUAU
rnacentral:snRNA from 1 species